CGCAGAGGCCUAAAAGCAGGUAAGUCGGAUAUGAAUGUGGUAGGUACAUGAAUAGAAUUUGUACAUUGUACAAUGUGUACACAUGUAUGUGUGUGUGUGUGUGUGUGUGUGUGUGUGUGUGCUACGUGAUUUGCUA
rnacentral:sRNA from 1 species